CACGAUAUCCCCUGCACCCGCGACGUUGGUGAUUAACACCAAGUUGAAGUAUCUGAACCCGUGGAUUGUGAACCGGAUCCCCCCUUGCUUCCGGCAUGCCACUCGGCGGUAGGCGACGGGGACGAUUCCGGCGCGAUACUCAGCGAUUUUAAGAAACAUAGGCAUAGCCAAAUCGAAAUGCGGGCGAGGAGGAUUACACCAUCCGCCAUUGUCACUGGGCAAAGCAAAGUUCGGCGGACAGAAAUUAGUGGCCGUAAUAAUAAUCGACGGGCUGCCGGAAUGGCACCAUCUCGGGUCAUUUGCACAUUUGAUUUCGAAACAGGCGCCGCAGCUCAGCCCAUUGUUAAACAGCGCCGUACUCAACGCCGCCGUGUUCACUCCGUACCCUUGGCUGUACAAGUUCCCAUACCCACAAGCUCCACCCAUUGUGCCGGAGGCAUCGGAGCCGCCGUAGAACGUGGCAUGGGCACUCUCCCAUGGGCCACCGGAGUAGACGCCGGGAAUUCUGGCGCCGGCCGUCCACAUUGUUGAAAUGAUAGUCGCAAUGCAGAGGAGAAUGGCGGUUUUAGCCAUUUUUUGGGGUUUAAUAACUGAAAAGAGAGAAGAAAG
rnacentral:misc_RNA from 1 species